rnacentral:rRNA from 1 species
UACGUAGGGACCGAGCGUUGUCCGGAAUCAUUGGGCGUAAAGAGCGUGUAGGCGGCUAUUUAAGUCCUGCGUGAAAUCCUGCGGCUCAACCGCAGACGGUCGUGGGAAACUGGAUGGCUAGAGUGCGGGAGAGGAGAGUGGAAUUCCCGGUGUAGCGGUGAAAUGCGCAGAUAUCGGGAAGAACACCCGUGGCGAAGGCGGCACUCUGGGCCGGAACUGACACUGAGACGCGAAAGCGUGGGGAGCGAACAGG